rnacentral:lncRNA from 1 species
CCUGCAACCUUCUUCAAAGGAAUUCUCUUCAGUUACUAGAGCCACUUCUCAUGGAGAGCUGAAGAUGUCUGAAGUUUACAAAUCCUUGGAGUAGCCAGUAGCCAGCCACUGGUUCAGGAGUAUGAAAGUCUAAUUCCUUUGCCUCCAGCCCCCCCGUACAUAGUUGUAUAUUCUUCGUUGUGGGUCCUUCUAGUUGUGGCAUGUGGGAUGCUGCCUCAGCGUGGUUUGGUGAGCAGUGCCAUGUCCGCACCCAGGAUUCGAACCAAU